CCACUCACUCUGUCCCCACUACACCCAGGGAGACAGAUCAAAUCCUCUCAAACAAACAAAAAAUGGAAACAAUGAUAUUUUGGGUUCAGUUUGUUUUAUGUUCAGCAGCCAUCACAGGUGUCCAAUCACAAAUCCGUCUGGAGGAGUCUGGAGGGGAUGUCAAAAGGCCUGGAGAGUCCCUCCGCCUCUCCUGUCAAGCCUCUGGAUUCACCUUCAGCAACUACUACAUGAGCUGGGUGAGACAGGCUCCUGGGAAGGGACUGGAAUGGACAGCAACUAUAACCAGCGGUGAAGGAAGCACACAAUAUUAUGCUAACUCGGUGAAAGGGCGCUUCACCAUCUCUAGGAACAACCCUUCAAACAUGCUGUAUCUGCAAAUGAACAACCUAAAAGCCGAGGACACCGCUGUGUAUUACUGUGCAAGAGACACAGUGAAAGGAAGUGAAUCUGAAGGCUGCUCAAAACCUUCCUUUGCUCUAUGCAGAACUAGGAGGUGUUUUCAAUGUUCAACUGUACUGGAUUGA